UGGGGAAUUUUGCACAAUGGGGGAAACCCUGAUGCAGCGACGCCGCGUGAUUUAGAAGGCCUUCGGGUUGUAAAAAUCUUUUCUAUGGGAAGAAAAUGACAGUACCAUAGGAAUAAGGACCGGCUAAUUACGUGCCAGCAGCCGCGGUAAUACGUAAGGUCCGAGCGUUGUCCGGAAUCAUUGGGCGUAAAGGGUACGUAGGCGGGUAAGCAAGUUAGAAGUGAAAUCCUAUAGCUCAACUAUAGUAAGCUUUUAAAACUGCUCAUCUUGGGGUAUGGAAGGGAGAGUGGAAUUCCUAGUGUAGCGGUGAAAUGCGCAGAUAUUAGGAGGAAUACCGGUGGCGAAGGCGACUUUCUGGCCAUAACCUGACGCUGAGGUACGAAAGCGUGGGUAGCAAACAGG
rnacentral:rRNA from 1 species